CCUACGGGAGGCAGCAGUGGGGAAUCUUGCGCAAUGGGCGAAAGCCUGACGCAGCAACGCCGCGUGCGGGAAGAAGGCUUUCGGGCUGUAAACCGCUUUCAGCAGGAACGAAAAUGACGGUACCUGCAGAAGAAGGAGCGGCCAACUAUGUGCCAGCAGCCGCGGUGAUACAUAGGCUUCAAGCGUUGUCCGGAUUUAUUGGGCGUAAAGAGUUCGUAGGCGGUCGAGUAAGUCGGGUGUGAAAAUUCUGGGCUCAACCCAGAGACGCCACCCGAUACUGCUUGACUUGAGUUCGAUAGGGGAGUGGGGAAUUCCUAGUGUAGCGGUGAAAUGCGCAGAUAUUAGGAGGAACACCGGUGGCGAAGGCGCCACUCUGGAUCGAUACUGACGCUGAGGAACGAAAGCAUGGGUAGCAAACAGGAUUAGAUACCCUGGUAGUCCAUGCCGUAAACGGUGGGCACUAGGUGUGGGUUUCUAUUAACGAAAUCCGCGCCGUCGCUAACGCAUUAAGUGCCCCGCCUGGGGAGUACGGUCGCAAGCUAAAACUUAAAUGAAUUGACCGG
rnacentral:rRNA from 1 species